UACGAAGGGAGCUAGCGUUGUUCGGAAUCACCGGGCGUAAAGCGCACGUAGGCGGAUGUGUCAGUCAGGGGUGAAAUCUCGGAGCUCAACUUCGGAACUGCCUUUGAUACAGCACGUCUUGAGUCCGAUAGAGGUGGGUGGAAUUCCUAGUGUAGAGGUGAAAUUCGUAGAUAUUAGGAAGAACACCGGUGGCGAAGGCGGCCCACUGGAUCGGUACUGACGCUGAGGUGCGAAAGCGUGGGGAGCAAACAGG
rnacentral:rRNA from 1 species